UACGUAGGUGGCGAGCGUUGUCCGGAUUUAUUGGGCGUAAAGAGCGUGUAGGCGGCUUGGCAAGUCCGCUGUGAAAACUCGAGGCUUAACCUCGAGACGUCGGUGGAAACUGCCUGGCUAGAGUCCGGAAGAGGAGAGUGGAAUUCCUGGUGUAGCGGUGAAAUGCGCAGAUAUCAGGAAGAACACCCGUGGCUAAGGCGGCUCUCUAGUACGGUACUGACGCUGAGACGCGAAAGCGUGGGGAGCGAACAGG
rnacentral:rRNA from 1 species